rnacentral:lncRNA from 1 species
ACCCCAAAGAGCUCCCUCACCUCCUUUCUGCCCUGUGAGGAAACAGUAAGAACUCAGCAGUAUGCAACCUGGAGGAAAGCUCUCACAGCACACAAACAUGCUGGCAGCCUGAGACUUCAGACUUCCAGCUUCCAGAACCACCAGAAACAAACUUCUGUCGUUUUUAAGCCACCUGGUCUAUGGUAUUUUUGUUAUAGCAGCCUAAACAAACUAAGAUUCUCUCUCUCUCUCUCUCUGUCACACACACACACACACACACACACACACACACACGCACCCCUCUGAAGUUCAAGAAGAGAACCUCCUAGGAGGCAAGAUGAUCCAGAUGAUCUCAGAAAUAAAAGUGCCCAGAAAGGAAAGAUGUUCACUAUUGAUGAAAGCUGACUUCCUCGUAUAGCAGACAGUCCGAAAUGCAACUUGUCACCUGUUGGAUUCUAUUUUAACAUAGUGCUCAGAAUUGAGGGGUAUUCACUCUUUCAUUCAAGGUCUCCCUUGAUUUAAGCUACUUAAAUCAUUUGCUUCCUUAUGGCUUGUAUAUCUACCCUUUUCUUAAUAGUCUAUUUAAAGCUAGAAGAUGAACCUCAUUUUUUCCAAACGUAAUUUGAGAGAAUUUGCAUGAUACACGCAGUAACAAGUGGCUCCUGAAUUAUGUAUGAUACCGUCUAAUGGGUCGGAGCUUGUUUGGAAAGUAUGGUCUUAUAAACUACCAGGUUUGCUUUUUAUGGCAAAUUGAAUGCUAUUCCCCCCUCUUGCUUUACAUAUUCUCCUAAUUAGGGGAGAUAAAAUAGAUUUUAGACCUGAAAAAAGAUAUUUCUUUCCAAGAGCCCAUAUUUGUAUGGAGAAUUAAGCUCAUUCCAGUCAGCUGCACCCUCUAAUUUAGAGCUGUUGUCAGCAUAAAGUAUAAUCAUAAAAGAUUUCUCCAUCAGGGGCUCUUACGCAAUAGAUUUCCUAAGGUGACUUUUUCAAGCUAAGGAGGGGACGGUGAUGUUUGCUUCUUCAAGGUGGCCUGGGUGAGGCUGUGAUGAGACUUGGGUUUCACCAAGGAUGACUUAAAGUUGUUCUGCAUUUUGCUUAUCUAUUCCUGGGAAGCAGAGUGAGUUUGAAAUGAAUCAUUGCUACCACUUGCUGAACUCUGACAGUACCCCAGGCAGAUGAACUAGCUGCUUCUGUGAUGCAGUCUUGUCACGAGGUGGCUCACUGGUGGCACUCAGUUAUCAGGCAGUGAGUGGGCACCCGUGCUCAGGGCGCAGUGGAAGCUCAAGGUGCAGUAGCCAACAAAGAGGCCUUUCCCGCCCUGCUGCACAGUACACAGAGGAGUGAGCAGUGGGGUGGGGUUGGGGUGGGGGCUGUGAAGAGGAGUGAGCUGAGCAUGGAGGGAAGGUUGGCGGGUUUCUCACAGUUAUCCAGGAACCACUGAAGCUUUGUGAUUCUGGGUAGUGGAGUUGCUGCUUUCUGUUCUCACUCUAAGUGGGAAGAGACUCUUCUUUCAAAGGGACUGUAACUGCCCCCUCCCACCACUGCAGGCCAUAGAAAUACACCAUCUCCGUAGAGCAGGGGUGUCCAAUCUUUUGGCUUCCCUGGGAAACACCGAAAAAAGAAGAAUUGUCUUGGGCCACACAUAAAAUAUACUAACACGAAUGAUAGCUGAUGAGCUAAAAAAAAAAAAAAAAA